AAAUGGUGGUUAAAAAAUCUUGCACGGCUAACAAUCCAACAUUGGAAGUCAAAUAAAAGUAUGGUGAGCCAGCUUAAAAACCAAGAUGCCUAAAGUAUUUUUUGUGACAUCCCCCUUACGCAACAAACCGUUGCAAGAUUCUUAACCUCAUAUUAU
rnacentral:other from 1 species